UGUCUACGUUUGCUAUUAAUUUAUGUUAUUACACGAAUUACUAUACUUUAUAUCAACGUAAAUGAAAAAAAGUUUGAUAUCCCAAAUAAUAAUAGGACCCCUUAAAAUUGGCCAAAAAUGUCAAAUUUUUGACAGGAUCGGAUUUUGGAUCGGAUUGAAUAGAAAAUCCGAUCUUCUGCCAGUGAGGCAAUGAGUGAGAAGUGAAGAGUGAGUAGUGGGAGAAUGUACAUUCUCACGUGAUAAUGAAGGAAAGUGAGAAAAAACGAGGUGGAUUGAAAGCAACGUAAAAUUGCAGGAUUGCCAACCGAAAAAAAAGAAAAAAUAUUUUGCUUCUUGGGGGAAUUGUACAUGUGUAUGUUAGGAGCCAAGUGCUGUGUGUCAUCUAAGGAGUUUGUUUAUCAGGAAGAAAUUGCCGUAAACCGAACCGAACCGAACCGUGUGAUUAAAUGCUAGUCCAGCAUCUUGCGUGUUACACCAUUCCGGAUCGUGCCAGACGAGCUGCACAGAGCGAUGAAAAGGAGUUUUAGGUUAAUUGCCCGGUGCUUUUGCAGUAGCGUGAAAUUGUUAAAGGAAAAAUGAAUUCGAGUGAUUAUGGAGCUGCUACGCGUCAACGAGAAGACGAAGGGGAACAUAUUUCAUUGCAUGUGACGGAGAAAAGGACUCAUCAUAUUCUUCAAGCGAUGUGAUGAGACUAUUGAAACAAAUUUUAAAAAAUCAAUCAGCUAUACUUGAUGAAUUGCGCAGUCAGAGAGAAGAAUUUUUGGAAAUGAAAAAUAGCCAGAACGGUAUUUUAGAAAGUUUAUCGAAGCAAUCGAAAAAAAUUACGCAUGUUCAAGUUUUUGUUGAACAAAUUAGCAGCGUGGUAUGUGUAGGGAAAGGUGUAGGAGCUCCCCCAGAAGGAGAAUAGCCCCAGAAGGGUUUCAAAAACUAAAAACAAAAGACGAUAUGGAUAAUUUUAACCUAAGUUUAGGAACAGAAGAUAAUUUCAAGGAUAAUAUACACAAAUGGCUGGAUGAAAGCAUAAAGAAAGCGGAAGUAAAAGACAGGAUGCACGAGGCACGCGAUUUGAUUUCUGAUCCCGAACUGUUUGCAGGUUGCAACUGGAAAGGUGGUCCGUCUUAUAACCCAAAAAUUCCCUUAAUCACAUAUUCAAACAUAUUAGAACUGUUUAGAGCCAUAGGUAGCAAUUCCUUCCAGCAGGCCUCUGAAAAAGACGUGGAAGAUUUUUUUAAAUUAAAGCUUCGAUGGCAAAGAUCGCCUGAAUUAAAAAAAAUAUAGCUUUAAUCCUUCUAAAAUGAAUUGAGUAUGUGGCUAAGGAAAUGGUGGGAAGAUGACGAAUCUUCAUUCUGGCUACAAUCCGCAAAGAGAUUUACGAUAAGCAAUCAAAUCACUGGACUCGUGUAUCCUGUUUUUGGCUAUAAUGAUAAAAUCAUUGGUUUUUUUAAACGUAAUGAAAAAUAACAGAAAUAGAGCUGUACAAAUUUGAUGUUUAAUAAUAAUAAUGUAUUAUGUACAAAGUUAAAACUUUACAAUGUUAAAGAAGCAAUUAAGCUACCUCAACUUAUAAUGUUUUUUGUAUUAAAAAUGUAAUCACAAUUAAUAAAAAUGUUAACUAUGAACUCAGUAUAAA